rnacentral:lncRNA from 1 species
AACCAACUCCAGUCGAAUGUCACGCCUGCCCAGCUCAUUCGUGAAAGACUUGCACUAGUCUAGCAUGCUUUAUGAGCUGCCAACCCCAUACUGAAAAUGGGAUAUGGAGUAAAAUUAUUAUGCAGAGUGUGGAGGAAGAAGGGAGUGAUGUUUUUGUUUUCUUUUCUCAUCCAGGACUAUAUUCUUUGCUGAUACCAUGCGGUGGGUGGAACUAUCACCCCAUAGCAAUGAAAUGUUUGAGGAUGAGGUCAAUGUGACAGAGAUUGUGUUCUUCACAAAGCACAAAGAAUUCUUCCAGCGUACGUGGAGAGACCAGGGGAAGGUCUUCUGGCGAAGAUUUGUGUUUUGUUUCAAGCUUUACAUUCAAAAGUAUUUGUACCCCAAGUGUAAAAUAGAGGAUCGCACUCCUUUAAUGAGAUGUGUGGAAGAAAUGCAGGAUUACAUCUUCUUUAAUUACUGCAAUGCGAAGUUUGCAACUGCAAGGGCCUUUAUGAACAACCUGAUAAUUCUUGGACUAUCAACAGAAAUGAUAGCAAGCAUAGGAAAAGGCUACAUGAAAGAUCCAUUUUAUGGCAAACAAACUCGAGGGACUUAUCGAGGGCUAUUUGGUCAUCCAGACUCUCCUGUCACUUAUCUAAAGGCAAUGCUGAUCCAGCCAAUGUACCUGCGCUUCUUCCAUGCAGUGAUUACCUUGAUGAGGGUAUGGCAAGGGUCGCCAGAUUGUUCCGACGAUGAUGAGUCAUAUUGCCCAAGAUACAUCAUAGAGGAGAUGUUUGUGGACAGAAUCAAGAAGAUCGCUGAAAGCUCAUCAGAAGACGAAAGUAGUAACUCAACUACAAGUUCUCAGAAUCAACAGGAACAUGAACAACUCAAGGAUGAAGAACUCAAGAAGACGGAAAAUACCAAUAAUACAAAAAAACCAAAGACAGAGACCCAGCCACGCAAGGUCUCCAGAAAAACACUGAAAGCAAAUGCAUUUGCUGCUAAGAAACUGUCCAGGAUGAAUAAAGCUUCAUCCAAAAAAGCGGAGCCCGAUACGGAAUACUACGCAAUCAUAUGUGUUCGCCGAGGAGGGGAGUACAAAUCGAAUAAUGAAGAAGAGGAAAAAGAAGAAGAAUCAUGUUCGAAAGUUAAACGGAAACACGACGACACUGCCGUGCCUCCUGAACCUCGUGCUGAACAACUUGAUGACCUUGAAGAUUUCACAAUACCAGAUUUCUACUUCCAACAAGCAUCUCAUCAUGAUGAAGACUUGACAUUUGAAUUUGAAUUCAUGACUAUGGAUGAUGGCAGUGAAGGUGACCUUGCCGAUGUGGUUAGGUUUCAUGAGUGUACAUCAUGUUUCACCUUUGAGCACACUCCAGAUGUGUUCAAGCAGUGCAAACGGUGCAAAACGGAGCACUGGUUACUACCCAAGUAUUACUGCAGUCAAAAAUGCCAAGGUUAGUGGGUAUGACGUGGCUGUGCCAAACACUAUUGGAGCCCUUUUUGUUUUUGAUCAUUUUAAUAUCUUUGGUGUUUGAGAUUUUAAUUUUUUUGGAGUUGGAUUUGUUGAUCUUGAGGAAGCAACAGUUGUGGAGGAUCAAGAACUGCAAGACAGUGGAGGGAAAGCAUGCCCCCCCCUCCCCAACACAAACCUAUCCGUUAGGGUUAGGGUUCCUGCUUUGUUGUACGCUUGCAGAAUAAAAAGGGCUGUUAAAAGCAGGGUCUGAGGAUUAUAAGGUGGGGGAAUUGCAGGGACAGCGUCACUGGAGAGGAAGAGGGUCAGGUAUGAGGAACUUGGCGAAGAAGCCAAAUAUUUGGAAGAGUGGAACAAGUACGGAGAGGCAUUUAAGGGAAUUGCAGAAGUUUUGUGUGGAAGAACAUCAGGAAUGGGUGCAUUGUCGAGGGAUAUGAACAAGGUAUGAUGGAUGAAGGAAAUAGCAAAGGGAGUUGGUGAAAAUGAGGCUUGGAAGAGGAUAGAGAAGAUCAAGGAUCAAGGGGGACAAUCAUAUUCAGAGCUGCUCCACCUGCAUGGGCAAAAGAAGAAAGCAUUAAGAAUGUGGUGGACAAGAUGAGGAUUGAUAUGGAAGAGGAUUGUGUGAGGAAGAUCUAUAAAUUGACUCAUGAGAGGGAUAAGGAUAGCAAGGACAUGAAGGGAGGAUGGUGAUGGGAGACUAGUGAUAUAGGGGGGAAAUAUUGAAGGUAAGGAAAGGAUAUUUCAAGAAGUUGUUGAAACUGCGAGCAGAGGUUCCGUGUUAUGUGGAGAUUAUGGAGGAGGUGCAGAGAGAAUUAGAAGAUAAAGAAGCUAAUAGUGCCAGGUAUUAAUGAGGUGCAUACAGAGAUGAUAAUUGCAGUGGGAGAUCGACAAAGAGCC